rnacentral:lncRNA from 1 species
AUGUCCAAGUUUUUAUCAGCUGUUGCAGAACUGUGGUACUCUCUGGCAAUGGAGACUUUAUGCCAGCUCAAUACCUCAAGGGCAAGACAAAGACGUCAUCAAGUUAUGCAAGCAGACCAUCUCACAGCUUCUCCUAGGAGGAGAGAUAAGAGACUUUCAUCAGAUGUAAAACAGCAUUCCCAGAGGAUAUCAGCAAUGACCAACGGACUAAUUUCUCUCAUCCUGCCCAUUUCUGGGGUUGCUUUUCAUCAUGGUCACUGCUUCCUUUUCCAGCCUCAAAAACAGUUUUCUCAAUCAUCUUGGGCACUGAGUUGGUGCCUCAGCACUUGGAUCUGUGUUCUAUGAUCUUCUUUUCAGAGUGUUCUCUCAUUUGUCCCUGUCCAUGUGAUGUUUUUCUGACACUAUUUUUUCUUCUUGUGCCACUUUAUCACUGUUUUUCUCCAUGACGUGCUGUUAAAAGAGGUGAGAUAUCUGGAAAAAAAUUAGAUUUAGCAGGAAAAAAAGAAGCAGCUCACCAAAAAACUACCUAGAAAGUAAGUAGUUUUUCUUUUUCUAAUUUCUUAUAUGUGUGUGUGUGCUGGUAUCUUAAAAUCUACAUUCAUGAUUUUAUCUACAACAUAGGGCUUAUUUUGUAAAUGAGCUUCAACACUCUAUCAAAUUGUAAUUAUUCAUGAAUAGUCUCUCUUUAUUGUUAAUGAUAUGCAUCACACUAACAGAGUUUGAUAUGCUGAUUAUAAGAAUAAAGUUCAUCUGAGGUAACA